rnacentral:lncRNA from 1 species
UUUUUUUUUUUUUUUUUGGAAAUGUUGUCUCGCUCUCUUGCGCAGGCUGAAUUGCAGUGGCACAAUCUGAGUUCACUUCAUCCUCUGCCUCCCAGGUUCAGGAGAUUCUCCUGCCACAGCCUCCUGGGUAGCUGGGACUACAGGUCAGUGCAACUAUGCCAGCCUAAUUUUUGUAUUUUUAUUAGAUACAGGGUUUUGCCAUGUUGGUCAGACGUGUCUCCAACUCCUGACCUCAAGGGAUCCGCCCACCUUGGCUUCCCCAAGUGUUGAGGUUAAGUCACCAUGCCCAGCCUGGAUUGGUUUUUAAGAACUUGAUUUAUACUUGUUUUGUUUUAAAGAAUAGUUUUUUGUGUUUUUAAACUUUUUAAAGUUAAAAAUACUUCACAAGAAACUGGUGAACUUAAAUGACAUUGAAGAUAAUUUACUAUUACUUAACAGUGGGGUGAUCUUUGGGGACUGGUUUAAGGGUAUAAAAUUGAAAAAUUAAUUUGUAACCUGAUAUUAGUAUUCUGAAGCUCUAUCUCUAGUGACUUAGAGAAAUUCUCAAAUCACCAAAUACAAUAAAUAAAUGAAUAUAAAACUAUAGUAGCUCAAUCACUUCUCUAAAGCAUUUUCUAAACUCCAGGAAUUAUGAAAACCACGGAAGAUUCAAAUAUUUUGCUGAACUGGGUCAUAAUGGGAGGUAUCUAUUUAGCCUAUGGGUGCUUUCAACUUUGACUCAGCAAACUAUUGGUAUUCACUUUCUCCGGGGCCUACUCCUCACACCCUCCUAACCCAUUCUUGCUCAAUAUUCUCCUUAACUCUGCAUCUAGCCUUGCUAUCAUAUUACCAAUGAAAUAAUAAUUGAUUUGGAUGUAUUUAUGUAAUACAACGUUCUUAAGUAACUAAUAGCAUUUACUUAGCAUUAAUUGGUCCCUUUCUAUGUACGAAGCACUGUUGUACUUGCUGACACCUACAAUAUUUUUCACAUACUUUAAAAUACAUCAGCAUACACAGUGUGAAAUCAUUUUUGUGUGUUCUUGUUAUUUAGGCCACAAUAUAAAGUACAUACUGCUAGAAUUCUAAUAAAAACGUACAGCACAGGAAUGGUGAGAUAGCAUUUAAAUCGGGAAAGUUCAGCUUGACAGUGUACUAUUACCAGUGCAUCCUGUUAGCCUAACAACUUUCAACAUCAUAAGUAACUCAUCAGUAACAAACUCUUAACUGGGACAAGGAAUAUUAGAAAUGUGUACUUUUAUUUUAUAAAUAAUCUCUGAAAAAGAUAGUCUUCUUAAGCACAAAUGUCAUUUAUUAUGGCAUGCUCAGUCUUUUUCAAUUUUUUACUUUCAAACAAUAUUCUCAAAUAUAUUUAGAAAAAGGUUUUUAAGGCAUACUAUUUCAUUAAUGCUCAUCAUUUGGGAAAAAAACCCAAUUCUAAUACAUGAACAUGAAUUUAUGUUUAUUUUUUAACUGUGGAUUAUC